rnacentral:rRNA from 1 species
CCUACGGGAGGCUGCCGUUAGGAAUCUUGGUCAAUGGGCGCGAGCCUGAACCAGCCAAGUAGCGUGAAGUAUGCCUGCCCUACGGGUUGUAAACUUCUUUUUUAAAGGCAUCAAGUGCGUCACGUGUGCAUUUUUGUAUGUCCUUUAUGCAUAAGGCUCGGCUAACUCAGUGCCAGAAGCCGCGGUAAUCCGGAGGAUCCGAUCGUUAUACGGAUUUAUUGGGUUUAAAGGCCACGUAGAUGGGUUGUUAAGUCAGUUGUGAAAGUUUGCGGCUCAACCGUAAAAUUGCAAUUGAUACUGGCAGUCGUGAGUACAGUUGAGGUAGGCGGAAGUCGUGGUGUAGCGGUGAAAUGCUUAGAUAGCACGAAGAACUCCGAGUGCGAAGGCAGCGUACUAAACUGCCACUGACAUUGAUGCUCGAAAGUGUGGGUAUCAAACAGGAGUAGAUACCCCAGUAGUC